rnacentral:piRNA from 1 species
AUUGGACAUAGUACUACCUGAGGAUCCC